UUAUACUGUAUGUACAUAUUUAGAGAAAAAAAGCCUAUUUGGGUUUAGUAACUGGAAAGCCUGUACAGCGGUCUAUGCUACAGCGAGAGCUUGACUGUACCGCCUUUAUAUGGCAAGAAAGACACAACUAAUACAAAAAUAUAUCAAUAAAUAAUAGCAUCAAUUGUAAUACCAACAACAAUAGAAAUGUGUAAAAGAAAGUCUCUUGGCUGAAGUGUAAAGAGUCUUGUUCAAGCCCAAUGAGCACGUGAGUUUUGGCGAGUUUAAAUUUUAAAAAAGUGAAGUAGUGAGAUAUGAAAACAUCAAGGCAUUAUCUAUAACCGACUUGUCUUCUUAUGAGACCACUGCACCAUGGAGCUGAUUGUCUUGUGUUCUUGGUCAAAACAAACAAAUCCAAGGUUAGUGUGAGGACAAUGACAGAGGGUCAUGAACAGUCAAAAUUAUGUUUUAAAUCAAACUGGAUGAUAUUUGGAUGAAACCAAAUCAAAAUACAAUGAUCAGAAGUAUGAAAAAUUACUGUUGCUUCUACAUUGAAAAAGUUUGGGUCCCCUCCCCCAUGUCAAACACUUGGAUUCAGGAUUAUUAAAGGGAUAGGGUGACAUCACCCUAACUCUAAUUUUAACACAUCAACGGUAACAUGAUAUUCUCUUACCUAAUUUAAAUAAGUACCACCUUGUUACCAACAUUUUAGAAAGAGUGUUUGCGGAGGGGUUUGGUUUAUAUAGCUACUCUACUGUUGCCAAAUUUAGACUGUAGGGUAUCAGCAAAUAUAAUUAAAAGUCUACACUAUUCAUCUAUGGCAAAGAUACUUAUAUGUCUCCCCUUGCAACUGUGUCUGGUGUUAGCUAGUGGCUAGCUAGGUCUUCAUCUGUGUCUGGUGUUAGCUAGUGGCUAGCUAGGUCUUCAUCUGUGUCUGGUGUUAGCUAGUGGCUAGCUAGGUCUUCAUCUGUGUCUGGUGUUAGCUAG
ensembl:lncRNA